rnacentral:rRNA from 1 species
CCUACGGGAGGCAGCAGUGGGGAAUUUUGGACAAUGGGGGAAACCCUGAUCCAGCCAUUCCGCGUGCGGGAAGAAGGCCUUCGGGUUGUAAAGCACUUUAAGCGAGGAGGAGGCUACUUUGGUUAAUACCCAGAGAUAGUGGACGUUACUCGCAGAAUAAGCACCGGCUAACUCUGUGCCAGCAGCCGCGGUAAU